GGUCAAGCGAACAAGUGCAUGUGGUGGAUGCCUUGGCGAUCACAGGCGAUGAAGGACGCGGUAGCCUGCGAAAAGCCCCGGGGAGCUGGCAAACAAGCUUUGAUCCGGGGAUGUCCGAAUGGGGAAACCCACUCCUUAUGGAGUAUCCAUAGCUGAAUACAUAGGCUAUGUGAAGCGAACGCGGUGAACUGAAACAUCUAAGUAACCGCAGGAAAAGAAAUCAACCGAGAUUCCCAAAGUAGUGGCGAGCGAAAUGGGAUGAGCCUUGUACUCUUUAUUUGUAUUGUUAGCCGAACGCUCUGGAAAGUGCGGCCAUAGCAGGUGAUAGCCCUGUAGGCGAAAACAGUAUGAAAGAACUAGGUGUACGACAAGUAGGGCGGGACACGUGAAAUCCUGUCUGAAGAUGGGGGGACCAUCCUCCAAGGCUAAAUACUCGUGAUCGACCGAUAGUGAACCAGUACCGUGAGGGAAAGGCGAAAAGAACCCCGGGAGGGGAGUGAAAUAGAUCCUGAAACCGCAUGCAUACAAACAGUCGGAGCCUCGUAAGGGGUGACGGCGUACCUUUUGUAUAAUGGGUCAGCGACUUACGUUCAGUAGCAAGCUUAACCGUAUAGGGCAGGCGUAGCGAAAGCGAGUCCGAAUAGGGCGUUCAGUUGCUGGGCGUAGACCCGAAACCAGGUGAUCUAUCCAUGGCCAGGAUGAAGGUGCGGUAACACGUACUGGAGGUCCGAACCCACUAACGUUGAAAAGUUAGGGGAUGAGCUGUGGAUAGGGGUGAAAGGCUAAACAAACCUGGAAAUAGCUGGUUCUCUCCGAAAACUAUUUAGGUAGUGCCUCGUGUCUCACCUUCGGGGGUAGAGCACUGUCAUGGUUGGGGGGUCUAUUGCAGAUUACCCCGCCAUAGCAAACUCCGAAUACCGAAGAGUGCAAUCACGGGAGACAGACAUCGGGUGCUAACGUCCGGUGUCAAGAGGGAAACAACCCAGACCGCCAGCUAAGGUCCCCAAAUAUGGCUAAGUGGGAAACGAAGUGGGAAGGCUAAAACAGUCAGGAGGUUGGCUUAGAAGCAGCCACCCUUUAAAGAAAGCGUAAUAGCUCACUGAUCGAGUCGUCCUGCGCGGAAGAUGUAACGGGGCUAAGCCAUAUACCGAAGCUGCGGAUGCGUGCUUGCACGCAUGGUAGGAGAGCGUUCCGUAAGCCUGCGAAGGUGCCUUGUAAAGGGUGCUGGAGGUAUCGGAAGUGCGAAUGCUGACAUGAGUAGCGAUAAAGGGGGUGAAAGGCCCCCUCGCCGUAAGCCCAAGGUUUCCUACGCAACGUUCAUCGGCGUAGGGUGAGUCGGCCCCUAAGGCGAGGCAGAAAUGCGUAGCUGAUGGGAAGCAGGUCAAUAUUCCUGCACCAUUGUUAGAUGCGAUGGGGGGACGGAUCGCGGAAGGUUGUCCGGGUGUUGGACGUCCCGGUCGCUGCAUUGGAGAAGGCGCUUAGGCAAAUCCGGGCGCAGGAUUCAAGGGUGUGGCGCGAGCGACUUCGGUCGCGAAGCAAUUGGAAGUGGUUCCAAGAAAAGCCUCUAAGCUUCAGUCUAACGAUGACCGUACCGCAAACCGACACAGGUGGGCGAGAUGAGUAUUCUAAGGCGCUUGAGAGAACUCGGGAGAAGGAACUCGGCAAAUUGGUACCGUAACUUCGGGAUAAGGUACGCCCUUGUAGCUUGACUGGCCUGCGCCAGGAGGGUGAAGGGGUUGCAAUAAACUGGUGGCUGCGACUGUUUAAUAAAAACACAGCACUCUGCAAACACGAAAGUGGACGUAUAGGGUGUGACGCCUGCCCGGUGCCGGAAGAUUAAAUGAUGGGGUGCAAGCUCUUGAUUGAAGUCCCGGUAAACGGCGGCCGUAACUAUAACGGUCCUAAGGUAGCGAAAUUCCUUGUCGGGUAAGUUCCGACCUGCACGAAUGGCGUAACGAUGGCCACACUGUCUCCUCCCGAGACUCAGCGAAGUUGAAGUGUUUGUGAUGAUGCAAUCUACCCGCGGCUAGACGGAAAGACCCCAUGAACCUUUACUGUAGCUUUGCAUUGGACUUUGAACCGAUCUGUGUAGGAUAGGUGGGAGGCUAUGAAACCGGAACGCUAGUUUCGGUGGAGCCGUCCUUGAAAUACCACCCUGGUUUGUUUGAGGUUCUAACCUUGGUCCGUGAUCCGGAUCGGGGACAGUGCAUGGUAGGCAGUUUGACUGGGGCGGUCUCCUCCCAAAGGGUAACGGAGGAGUACGAAGGUACGCUAGGUACGGUCGGAAAUCGUGCUGAUAGUGCAAUGGCAUAAGCGUGCUUAACUGCGAGACCGACAAGUCGAGCAGGUGCGAAAGCAGGUCAUAGUGAUCCGGUGGUUCUGUAUGGAAGGGCCAUCGCUCAACGGAUAAAAGGUACUCUGGGGAUAACAGGCUGAUACCGCCCAAGAGUUCAUAUCGACGGCGGUGUUUGGCACCUCGAUGUCGGCUCAUCUCAUCCUGGGGCUGUAGCCGGUCCCAAGGGUAUGGCUGUUCGCCAUUUAAAGAGGUACGUGAGCUGGGUUUAAAACGUCGUGAGACAGUUUGGUCCCUAUCUGCCGUGGGCGUUGGAUAUUUGAAGGGGGCUGCUCCUAGUACGAGAGGACCGGAGUGGACGAACCUCUGGUGUACCGGUUGUGACGCCAGUCGCAUCGCCGGGUAGCUAUGUUCGGAAGAGAUAACCGCUGAAAGCAUCUAAGCGGGAAACUCGCCUUAAGAUGAGAUAUCCCUGGAGGCUUGACCUCCUUGAAGGGUCGUUCGAGACCAGGACGUUGAUAGGUCGGGUGUGUAAGCGCAGUAAUGCGUUCAGCUAACCGAUACUAAUUGCCCGUAAGGCUUGAUCCU
rfam:Burkholderia multivorans ATCC 17616 genomic DNA, complete genome, chromosome 3.